GAUGAACGCUGGCGGCGUGCCUAAUACAUGCAAGUCGAGCGAACAGAUGAGGAGCUUGCUCCUCUGACGUUAGCGGCGGACGGGUGAGUAACACGUGGAUAACCUACCUAUAAGACUGGGAUCACUUCGGGAAACCGGAGCUAAUCCCGGAUAAUAUAUUGAACCGCAUGGUUCAAUAGUGAAAGACGGUUUUGCUGUCACUUAUAGAUGGAUCCGCGCCGCAUUAGCUAGUUGGUAAGGUAACGGCUUACCACGGCAACGAUGCGUAGCCGACCGGAGAGGGUGAUCGGCCACACGAGAACGUAGACACGGUCCAGACUCCUACGGGAGGCAGCAGUAGGGAAUCUGCCGCAAUGGUCGAAAGCCUGACGGAGCAACGCCGCGUGAGUGAUGAAGGUCUUCGGAUCGGAAAACUCUGUUAUUAGGGAAGAACAAAUGUGUAAGUAACUAUGCACGUCUUGACGGUACCGAAUCAGAAAGCCACGGCUAACUACGUG
rnacentral:rRNA from 1 species